rnacentral:lncRNA from 1 species
CUCCGCCGAAGCCCCGCUCCACCGCUAGCCGAGGUCGCGGCUCCGGCGGCAGGAAAACCCCUUCCUGACCUGAGGGACCGCCUUCUGGCUCUGGCGGGGGCUCUGGUGGGGCUUUUGCCAGAAUCUAAUGGGGAAGUCCAGAGUUGGAUGUAUCCAUGACACAAAGGGAUGUUACUCCGAGACGCUGGACCCCAAUAGAAAAACUGAACACUGAAUUGUGAAUGACCUGGCUGUUAAUCCAAAGAGCGCGAAGCUCUUCAAUCGAGGCGGAGAAAAACACCCACCUUGAACACCAUAUCCUCUAUUCCUACAGUAGAUAGGGAAGCUAGGAUGGUAGGAAAGCGAUGGUAUGGAAACACGUCACACUUAACGGCGUUGUUAGCUUAUUUAUUUACUAAACUCCAGAUUUUAUUCCAAUUUUACCAAUUUUUUCGACUAGUGUCAUUUUUUCUGUUCCAAGAUCCAACACAGGACACUACAUUGCACUUAGUACUUUUACGGUUGUUUUUGUUUUUGUUUUUUGAUUUUGUUUUUUGGGGGUUUUUUUUGAGACGGGGUCUCACUCUCGCCCAGGCUGGAGUGCAGGGGCACGAGCUCCGCUCACUGCAACCUCCGCCUCCCGGGUUCAAGUGAUUCUCCUGGCUCAGCCUCCAGAGUAGGUGUGACUACAGGCGCCCGCCACCGUGCCUGGGUAAUUUUUGUAUCUUUAGUAGAAACAGGGUUUUGCCA